rnacentral:rRNA from 1 species
AUUGAACGCUGGCGGCAGGCCUAACACAUGCAAGUCGAGCGAGCGGCGGACGGGUGAGUAAUGUAUGGGGACUGCCCGAUAGAGGGGGAUAACUACUGGAAACGGUAGCUAAUACCGCAUACUAUCGGAUAACCCAUAUGGGAUUAGCUAGUAGGUGAGGUAAUGGCUCACCUAGGCGACGAUCCCUAGCUGGUCUGAGAGGAUGAUCAGCCACACUGGAACUGAGAAACGGCCCAGACUCUUCCGGAGGAAGAAGUGGGGAAUAUUGCAAAAGGGGCGCAAGCCGGAUGCAGCCAGGCCGGGUGUAUGAAGAAGGCCCUAGGGUGGUAAAGUACUUUCAGUCGGGAGGCGUUACCGACAGAAGAAGCACCGGCUAACUCCGUGCCAGCAGCCGGGUAAUUC